AUACGGAGGGUGCGAGCGUUAAUCGGAAUUACUGGGCGUAAAGCGUGCGUAGGCGGUUUGUUAAGUCAGAAGUGAAAGCCCUGGGCCCAACCUGGGAACGGCUUUUGAGACUGGCAGACUCGAGUUGAGUAGAGGGGAGUGGAAUUUCCGGUGUAGCGGUGAAAUGCGUAGAGAUCGGAAGGAACACCAGUGGCGAAGGCGACUCCCUGGACUCAAACUGACGCUGAGGUACGAAAGCGUGGGGAGCGAACAGGAUUAGAAACCCUAGUAGUCC
rnacentral:rRNA from 1 species